UACAGUAGUCUUGUUUCUAUAUCAUAGUACGGAAGUACUAAAAGAAACAACUGUGUAACAAAUACACACUAAGUGUUGUUACUUAACUCUCUUCAUCCUAUCAAUAGUCAUUGUAUGUGCUGUAUUCAGGCGCCGCCCUGACCGUUUAUUUGUACUGCGGAUUAUAGACCUGUCUGUGUUACAGAUGGAAAUGCUACAAGGACCUUCGGAAACGCUUGCGUCCUAAGAGUGGAGAAUUGCUUUAAACGGACGAACUUCCGGAAGAUUCAUGAUGGGGAAUGUCCACAAUGAAGAUAAUUAUGAUUGCAAUAUGCGAAUGCGAUAACACAGAA